rnacentral:rRNA from 1 species
CUUUCCUUGACGACGACUGGCGCACGGGUGAGUAACGCGUAUCCAACCUUCCCAUGACCACGGGAUAACCCGUUGAAAGACGGCCUAAUACCGUAUGACGUCGUUUGCCGACAUCGAAAGACGACCAAAGGUUUGGCGGUGAUGGAUGGGGAUGCGUCUGAUUAGCUUGUUGGCGGGGUAACGGCCCACCAAGGCGACGAUCAGUAGGGGUUCUGAGAGGAAGGUCCCCCACAUUGGAACUGAGACACGGUCCAAACUCCUACGGGAGGCAGCAGCG